rnacentral:rRNA from 1 species
CCCUAUUAUUAUUUAAUGUUAUUAAAAUUUUGAGUAGUAUAUGAUUUGGUCAGGAAACUUAAAGAAUUUGGCGGUGUAUAUUCUGAUUAGAGGAAUAUGUUUUUAAAUUGAUAUCCCACAAAUAUCUUACUUAGAUUUAUUUAUUUUGUAUAUCUCCGUCUUAAAAAAAUUUUUUGAAAUAUUUUUUAUAUUUUAUAAUUUUAAAUAAGUCAGGUCAAGAUGCAGAUAAUAUUUAAGUUAAAAUGUAUUACAAUAAAUUUAUUUUUGGAAUUAAAUUUUAAUAUUUAGCUAAAUUGGAUUUAUAAGUAAAUUAAUUUGAAUAAUAAUUGAUUGAAUUA